UUACAUAAUAAAAUGUAUGAA
rnacentral:piRNA from 1 species